rnacentral:rRNA from 1 species
GAUGAACGCUGGCGGCGUGCCUAAUACAUGCAAGUCGAGCGAACGGACGAGAAGCUUGCUUCUCUGAUGUUAGCGGCGGACGGGUGAGUAACACGUGGAUAACCUACCUAUAAGACUGGGAUAACUUCGGGAAACCGGAGCUAAUACCGGAUAUAUUUUGAACCGCAUGGUUCAAAAGUGAAAGACGGUCUUGCUGUCACUUAUAGAUGGAUCCGCGCUGCAUUAGCUAGUUGGUAAGGUAACGGCUUACCAAGGCAACGAUGCAUAGCCGACCUGAGGGGGUGAUCGGCCACACUGGAACUGAGACACGGUCCAGACUCCUACGGGAGGCAGCAGUAGGGAAUCUUCCGCAAUGGGCGAAAGCCUGACGGAGCAACGCCGCGUGAGUGAUGAAGGUCUUCGGAUCGUAAAACUCUGUUAUUAGGGAAGAACAUAUGUGUAAGUAACUGUGCACAUCUUGACGGUACCUAAUCAGAAAGCCACGGCUAACUACGUG